AAUUUCUUAAUUCAAUCAGUCCGGAACUUCCUUCUUUUCAGGCUCUUCGCGAGCAGCCUUGGAUCCUGGUGAUGAACAAGAUUGAUCAGGUGUGUGAAGGAGACGUAACCAUACCGGAAGACGUGAGAGCAGCGUUCUCGGCCGUGGUGUCCACGUGUGCCGUCAAAGAGGCGCUCGACAUCGACAAGCUAGACACGGCUCUAGCCGCCUUGAUUGCUGCCGGGGGUGACGUCUUCUCGGCUGGCCAGCAACACUGGGCAGUAAACGAGGUAAGUUUGCGUAACAGACGUUUAGAGAGAGUGCAAGAGAUUUAAAAGCUUUCAGGUACCUUUUUUUCUUACUGUGCGCUUUCUUCGUUCUCCAGAGGCAGAAGGAGCAGCUAAUCCGAGCGAAACAGGCG
rnacentral:lncRNA from 1 species